AUGUGCCUCGAGUCACAUGGUACCCUGGAAAGCUUAGAAAAUGCUAUUGCUAAUAUGGUAGAAUUUAUAUUUCUUCUGGGUGGAUGUGAGCGCAUGUGCCGUAGGCCAUAUGACGUUUAUCUUUACACUGACAAUUUCAUGUUCGGCCGACACAAUGAGAAGCAAAAGCUGUUGAGCUUCUUGUUGGAGAACAACAACCAUCCUGGUGAUCAUGCACUUGCAGUCCUUCCAAUCAUAGGUGGUGUUGGCGUUGGAAGGAAAACCUUGGUUGCUCAUGUGUGUGGCGACGAAAGGGUUCACUCACGCUUCUCCUCUAUUUUGCACUUGAAUGGACACAACCUCUUGACCAUACUUGACCAUGGAAGGACCAUGUCUGGGACGAUGUUGGUAAUUAUUGAGUUUGUUUCUGAUGUAGGCGAUGAUGAAUGGAAAAUGUUUCACUCGUUUCUCAUAAGAAUGAGCAGAGGAAGCAAGAUCAUCAUCAUAAGUAAACUUAAAAUGUUAGCCCGGUUUGGAUCAGUGCAGCCUGUUUUUCUAAGUGUUCUGUCUUAUAACGAGUUGAAAUACCUUUUCAAGAAACUGGCAUUCGGGAGUGUAGACCCUGCAGAACAUCCACGUCUAGUACAAAUAGCAGAUGAUUUUACCAAGGUGUUGUACAUUGUGCCAAGUACACUUCCUGCAACAAAUACACUAGCGGAUGUGUUGAGAAAGAACCUCAGUGUUCGGUUUUGGCUCUGCAUAUUGGACAAGGUGAUAAGAUAUGCCAAAAGAAAUGUCUCCACAUAUGUGUGCACCCAAACAUGCUUUUCGAAGAAGGCCAUCAUGUGGACAUAA
rnacentral:rRNA from 1 species